rnacentral:rRNA from 1 species
UGGUGGACUGAUUUGUCUGGUUAAUUCCGAUAACGAACGAGACUCUUGCCUACUAAAUAGACGGCGUAUCGAGACGUACGUCGCGCUUCUUAGAGGGACAAGCGGCGUCUAGCCGAAUGAAACAGAGCAAUAACA